UUGCUUUGACAGCACAUAUACUAAAACUGGAACAAUACAGAGAAGAUGAGCUUGGCCCUGCCCAAGGACAACGUGCAAAUUCGUGAGAUGUACCAUCCUUUU